AUUGAACGCUGGCGGCAGGCCUAACACAUGCAAGUCGAACGAGUGGCGGACGGGUGAGUAAUGUCUGGGAAACUGCCUGAUGGAGGGGGAUAACUACUGGAAACGGUAGCUAAUACCGCAUACCAUCAGAUGUGCCCAGAUGGGAUUAGCUUGUUGGUGGGGUAACGGCUCACCAAGGCGACGAUCCCUAGCUGGUCUGAGAGGAUGACCAGCCAAACUGGAAAUGAAGAACGGUCCAGACUCCUACUGGAGGCAGCAGUGGGGAAUAUUGCACAAUGGGCGGAAGCCUGAUGCAGCCAUGCCGCGGGUAGGGAGAAGGCCUUCGGGUUGUAAAGGACUUUCAGCGGGGAGGCGUUACCCGCAGGAGAAGCACCGGCUAACUCCGUGCCAGCAGCCGCGGUAAUUC
rnacentral:rRNA from 1 species